rnacentral:lncRNA from 1 species
UUUACGAAAAAAACACAAGACUCUUCAUUAAAUAAAACACUAUUUCCUUACUUCUGUUUAUUGAUAAUUAAUAGGUCUGGUUUUAUUUUUUUUAUUAUACUUUAAGUUUUAGGGUACAUGUGCACAACGUGCAUGUUUGUUACAUACGUAUACAUGUGCCAUGUUGGUGUGCUGCACCAAUUAACUCGUCAUUUAACAUUACAUAUAUCUCCUAAUGCUAUCCGUCCCCACUCCCCCCACCCCACGACAGGCCCCGGUGUGUGAUGUUCCCCUUCCUGUGUCCAUGUGUUCUCAUUGUUCAAUUCCCACCUAUGAGUAAGAACAUGCGGUGUUUGGUUUUUUUGUCCUCACGAUAGUUUGCUGAGAAUGAUGGUUUCCAGCUUCAUCCAUGUCCCUACAAAGGACAUGAAUUCAUCAUUUUUUAUGGCUGCAUAGUAUGUGUAUAUGUGCCACAUUUUCUUAAUCCAGUCGAUAUGUUAAUAGGAAAACUCUUUCCCUUUACUCAUUUGAAUGUUCUAAGGGCAUGGGGAGAAGGUGUAGCUCAUGGGAGAGGGAGUAUGCCCCCACAUCAUUUAAGGGGAAAUGAUGUGGCCAUCAGUGUGGCUUGAUGAAUUUUGUUUAUAGUUCUAGAGAUUCUCAGGAUGGCAGGAUGGUUCACAGCUGGGCCCCUCACUGGGCAGGAAACAGCCCCACCCAAGGUCACUAUUCACCCUUUUGGCGUGGUUCACUGCCAAUGACUGCUGGUGCAGACAUCUGAAGUGCCAGCCCCUUGCCUCAAUUUGAGACAACAUAGAAGGAUUAUCCGCAAUCUAGAGCUCUCUGCAGGUAUAGCCAAGACCU